rnacentral:rRNA from 1 species
ACUCUAAGCGGUGGAUCACUCGGCUCAUGGGUCGAUGAAGAACGCAGCAAACUGUGCGUCAUCGUGUGAACUGCAGGACACAUGAACAUCGACAUUUUGAACGCAUAUCGCAGUCCAUGCUGUUAUGUACUUUAAUUAAUUUUAUAGUGCUGCUUGGACUACAUAUGGUUGAGGGUUGUAAGACUAUGCUAAUUAAGUUGCUUAUAAAUUUUUAUAAGCAUAUGGUAUAUUAUUGGAUAAAUAUAAUAAUUUUUAUUCAUAAUAUUAAAAAAUAAAUGAAAAACAUUAUCUCACAUUUGAAUGUGAAAAACGAAGAGAAAUAUUUUCUUUUUCAAUCAAAUAAUACUGAGAAAUGUCUAGCAUAAAAAAUUGAAAUAUUUUUCAUCUAGAAUUGUCUCUUAUUAAUGAUUCGGAAAUAGAAAAAUCUUGGUUAUGUUAUUAUUCUUCGUUGGUUCGUUUAAAAUGGAUAAAUAAAAACUUUGCAUACAAGAAUUAAUAAAAAUGUUAUAACGAAUUUAAUUAAAUGUUUUAUCAUUAUAUAUAAAGAAUUUAUGGCAAGAUAAAGUUAUAUACAACCUCAACUCAUAUGGGACUACCCCCUGAAUUUAAGCAUAUUAAUUAGGGGAGGAAAAGAAACUAACAAGGAUUUUCUUAGUAGCGGCGAGCGAAAAGAAAACAGUUCAGCACUAAGUCACUUUGUCUAUAUGGCAAAUGUGAGAUGCAGUGUAUGGAGCGUCAAUAUUCUAGUAUGAGAAAUUAACGAUUUAAGUCCUUCUUAAAUGAGGCCAUUUACCCAUAGAGGGUGCCAGGCCCGUAUAACGUUAAUGAUUACUAGAUGAUGUUUCCAAAGAGUCGUGUUGCUUGAUAGUGCAGCACUAAGUGGGUGGUAAACUCCAUCUAAAACUAAAUAUAACCAUGAGACCGAUAGUAAACAAGUACCGUGAGGGAAAGUUGAAAAGAACUCUGAAUAGAGAGUUAAACAGUACGUGAAACUGCUUAGAGGUUAAGCCCGAUGAACCUGAAUAUCCGUUAUGGAAAAUUCAUCAUUAAAAUUGUAAUAUUUAAAUAAUAUUAUGAGAAUAGUGUGCAUUUUUUCCAUAUAAGGACAUUGUAAUCUAUUAGCAUAUACCAAAUUUAUCAUAAAAUAUAACUUAUAGUUUAUUCCAAUUAAAUUGCUUGCAUUUUAACACAGAAUAAAUGUUAUUAAUUUGAUAAAGUGCUGAUAGAUUUAUAUGAUUACAGUGCGUUAAUUUUUCGGAAUUAUAUAAUGGCAUAAUUAUCAUUGAUUUUUGUGUUUAUUAUAUGCACUUGUAUGAUUAACAAUGCGAAAGAUUCAGGAUACCUUCGGGACCCGUCUUGAAACACGGACCAAGGAGUCUAACAUAUGUGCAAGUUAUUGGGAUAUAAACCUAAUAGCGUAAUUAACUUGACUAAUAAUGGGAUUAGUUUUUUAGCUAUUUAUAGCUAAUUAACACAAUCCCGGGGCGUUCUAUAUAGUUAUGUAUAAUGUAUAUUUAUAUUAUUUAUGCCUCUAACUGGAACGUACCUUGAGCAUAUAUGCUGUGACCCGAAAGAUGGUGAACUAUACUUGAUCAGGUUGAAGUCAGGGGAAACCCUGAUGGAAGACCGAAACAGUUCUGACGUGCAAAUCGAUUGUCAGAAUUGAGUAUAGGGGCGAAAGACCAAUCGAACCAUCUAGUAGCUGGUUCCUUCCGAAGUUUCCCUCAGGAUAGCUGGUGCAUUUUAAUAUUAUAUAAAAUAAUCUUAUCUGGUAAAGCGAAUGAUUAGAGGCCUUAGGGUCGAAACGAUCUUAACCUAUUCUCAAACUUUAAAUGGGUAAGAACCUUAACUUUCUUGAUAUGAAGUUCAAGGUUAUGAUAUAAUGUGCCCAGUGGGCCACUUUUGGUAAGCAGAACUGGCGCUGUGGGAUGAACCAAACGUAAUGUUACGGUGCCCAAAUUAACAACUCAUGCAGAUACCAUGAAAGGCGUUGGUUGCUUAAAACAGCAGGACGGUGAUCAUGGAAGUCGAAAUCCGCUAAGGAGUGUGUAACAACUCACCUGCCGAAGCAACUAGCCCUUAAAAUGGAUGGCGCUUAAGUUGUAUACCUAUACAUUACCGCUAAAGUAGAUGAUUUAUAUUACUUGUGAUAUAAAUUUUGAAACUUUAGUGAGUAGGAAGGUACAAUGGUAUGCGUAGAAGUGUUUGGCGUAAGCCUGCAUGGAGCUGCCAUUGGUACAGAUCUUGGUGGUAGUAGCAAAUAAUCGAAUGAGACCUUGGAGGACUGAAGUGGAGAAGGGUUUCGUGUGAACAGUGGUUGAUCGCGAGUUAGUCGGUCCUAAGUUCAAGGCGAAAGCCGAAAAUUUUCAAGUAAAACAAAAAUGCCUAACUAUAUAAACAAAGCGAAUUAUAAUACACUUGAAUAAUUUUGAACGAAAGGGAAUACGGUUCCAAUUCCGUAACCUGUUGAGUAUCCGUUUGUUAUUAAAUAUGGGCCUCGUGCUCAUCCUGGCAACAGGAACGACCAUAAAGAAGCCGUCGAGAGAUAUAGUCAUGUAUACCCUUACAUACCCUCUUAUUAGAUUAAGUUAUGUUAGAAUACACAUGGCGCUAAGCUUUUUGUCUGAGCUUAGCUUUAUUUUUAGUCAGUAGACAAGAAGACCUCGAUCUGUACACAUCAUUGAAUAAACCCUCAAUUUGUUAAGCGAAACCUUUCGUUUUGUUUUAACCCCUCUUUAAUCGACA